rnacentral:rRNA from 1 species
UACAGAGGGGGCAAGCGUUGUUCGGAAUUACUGGGCGUAAAGGGCGCGUAGGCGGCCUUCUAAGUCGAACGUGAAAUCCCUGGGCUCAACCCAGGAACUGCGUCCGAUACUGGGAGGCUUGAAUCCGGGAGAGGGAUGUGGAAUUCCAGGUGUAGCGGUGAAAUGCGUAGAUAUCUGGAGGAACACCGGUGGCGAAGGCGGGUCGCUGGACCUCUUCUGACGCUGAGGCGCGAAAGCCAGGGGAGCAAACGGG